rnacentral:rRNA from 1 species
UACAGAGGUCCCGAGCGUUGUUCGGAUUCACUGGGCGUAAAGGGUGCGUAGGUGGUGAGGUAAGUCGGAUGUGAAAUCUCGGAGCUCAACUCCGAAAUGGCAUUGGAAACUACCUUGCUAGAGGGUUUGAGGGGGACGUGGAAUGGCUUGGGUGUAGCAGUGAAAUGCGUAGAUAUCAAGCGGAACACCAGUGGCGAAGGCGAGUCCCUGGAAAACUCC